UUUUUGUCUAUGGGUGUUGUGCCUGCUUAUAUGUCUGUGCACCAUGUGCAUGCAGUGCCUAGGGAGGCCAGAAGAGGGCGGUAGAUCCCUUAGGACUCACUGGAGUUAUAGAUAGUUGUGAGCCACUGUGUGGGUGCUGGGAAUCAAACCCAGGUCCUCUGGAGGAGCAGCCAGUGUCUUAACCUCGGAGCCAUCUCUCCAGACCCCAAAACAUUUUCAUAAUAAAAAUAACUAUUUUAGCACAAAAUGGGAAUGGCAUGAGAGGAGACUCAAGCACACACUGAGCAAUUUACUUAGACUGAAUUUGGCCCUUUGUUUAUAAUCCUAUUACUGUCCAUAACUCUGUAACAAAAUUCCUUAGACUGGAUACUUGUGACCAGUAGAAAUUAUUUCACACAGUCCUAAAGGCAGAGAAGACCAAGAGCAAGAUGCUGGCUGGUUUAUCAAUUUAGCACUUGAUACAAGCUCAUUUCUUCAUUGUUGGAUAACACCCACUACUGUGUUGUCACUGAGAGGAAGGGGCAAUGUAGCUCUCUCUGGGGCCUCGUUUAUGACACCACAAAUCACACUCACAUAGACUCCUGUGACCUAACCACCCCACAAAGCUGCCGCCGCCUUAUCCCAUCACCUCGGAGUUAGGAUCCCAGAAUCUGAAUUGUAGGGAAACCAGAACUUGCAGACCACAGCCCUAACACAGUAAUAUUUUAUGAGAGGAAUUACCUAGCAACACAGCAACUGCUGAAUAAUGCUUUAUUCCCAUACCCAAUUCUUUAGGUUUUGAACACUCAACAAAUUUAAAAGGAGAGCGCAUUUCAGUCUUAAAAGAGUUCGUGUAAAUCUGGUAAGUAAGUUAGUAAAGCAGGCAUGAGCUGAAACUUUCACAUCCAGAAGGAAACCGCUGCCCUCCCGGCUCAUACUGCGUCGUCUUAAAUUUAGCAAUAAAUAAAAGCUUACAAGCGGCCACCCAGAACGAAACCAUUUGUGCUCUGUUUUCGUUGCUGAGAGCACAAUGCUAUUCUUAUUUGUGUCUAAUCGUUGUGUGUUUCCAUUUUCUGUUUAAACACAACCAUCUGCGGUUCUGUGGUGAGUAUGGAUGUGGACCUCGCUCCCGGUACACUUGAACACGUCCAAGCCCUCAUGAACUUGAAAAGAACCCGAGUGGCUGUCCCACUUGUGCCCCGAGCUGGAGGGAACCAAGGCGCUGGGAGCUGGCAGAUUCAUGUCCACGUGGAAUAAGUAAUGAAAGCUCACCAAACUUAAGGUUUCGUAUCUCUUGGUAAAACUCCAGCAUGACAGCUGUUUAGAACCUGGAGUCAACAAACACGUGUCGGAGUGAUGCUCACCAACACUGUUUAAUGGUGCUGACACAUGGCACUAACACAAAGCAAAGAGGCUCUGUGAGUUUCACUCCUGGUUUUGAACGAUAUACAGAGAACACACCCUUUGGUUGCCAGCAUUCAGGUAAGUGUGUAUCACUGCCUGAUGAUGCUUCCUUCCUUCCCUUCCUCCCUUUUUUCUUCUCUCCCUCCCUCUCUUUUUCACUCCCUUCCUUCCCUCUCUCCUUCCCUUCCUUCCUCCCUCUCUCCUUCCUUCCUCCCUUCCUCCCUCUCUCCUUUCUAUUUCUCUUUCAUUCUUUUUUUAUUUUUAAAGUGUGUGUGUACAUGUAUGUGUAUGUACAUGUGUGUGUGUGUGUGCAUGUGUACCUGCAAAGUCCAGAAGAGGGUUUUGGAUCCCCGGAGCUGGAGUUACAGGUGGUUGUGUGCUAGAAACUGAACUCCAUUCCUCUGCAAGGUCUGUAAGGGCUUAGCCGGACCUGGUUGUUAAUGCCUUUAAUUCCAGUACUUGGAA
rnacentral:lncRNA from 1 species